CAGCCGCCACGGGAAUACGGAGGGAGCUAGCGCUGUUCGGAAUCACUGGGCGUAAAGCGCACGUAGGCGGCUAUUCAAGUCAGGGGUGAAAGCCCGGGGCUCAACCCCGGAACUGCCUUUGAAACUAGAUAGCUUGAAUCUUGGAGAGGCGAGUGGAAUUCCGAGUGUAGAGGUGAAAUUCGUUGAGAUCGGAAAGAACACCAACGGCGAAAGCACUCUGCUGGGCCGACACUGACACUGAGAGACGAAAGCUAGGGGAGCAAAUGGGAUUAGAUACCCGCGUAGUCCCUGUCUCUUAUAC
rnacentral:rRNA from 1 species